rnacentral:tRNA from 1 species
CGGGUGUGGUUUAGUGGUAAAAUAUUAGCUUCCCAAGCUGAAGUCGCGAGUUCGAUUCUCGUCACCC